ensembl:lncRNA
GGAGGGCACUGAUGGCAGGGGAAGGAACACAAAAAGGACAAACAGCUCCUGGGAAAUGGAGGCUGGGAGCUGUGGGAACUCCUGGAUCUCCUGGAUCUCUGCAGAAAACUACUUGGCUUCUCUGUACUGUGCUCCAUUUUUUGGGGGUCCAACUUGAACACUUCCAGAGGUGGAGCAGACAUCCAUCAGACAAAGCAGCAAUUUGUACUACAGUGGGGUAAACACAGGGCUCUGGCUUCUACAUCUCCCUCAAGGAAUAAAAACAAAAAACCCCACAAACCUGUGCCUUACUGGGAAACAGUUUUUCUUCUGGAGAUCCUUGAAGGACACUUGUGCAGCUUCAAGCACAUGGAGUGUCCUGGCUGUGCUGCCAGCAGUUGGCAAUGCUGUGGUUUCACAAUGGGGGAGGCUGUGGCAAUCCUGAAUUAAAAUUCUGUUCUGCUCUCCUCCAACUCUUUUUCCUCCUCACUUGUGCUGGUCCAGCUGUCUGUGAUUCCACGUGGCACAUGGCAUUGGAGAAAUGUGUGGAAAAGUGACACAGCCAGGAGGGAAGAGCCCUGCAGGCUGAGUCAGCAUCUGGGGUGUUACAUGUGGCAUCGAGGCUUGGAGUAAAUUAACUCCCAGGGAGGAUUUGUGAGGUGAAAAUCCACAUGGAGCAGCUGGAGAGAGUCCAGAGGAAACCCUGGAACUGCUCCUAAGGCUGGAGCCAGGCUGGGAGAGCUGGGGGUGCUCACCUGGAGAAGAGAAGGAUCCAGGGAGAGCUCAGAGCCCCUGGCAGAGCCUGAAGGGGCUCCAGGAGAGCUGGAGAGGGACUGGGGACAAGGGAUGGAGGGACAGGACACAGGGAAUGGCUCCCACUGCCAGAGGGCAGGGAUGGAUGGGAUAUUGGGAAGGAAUUUCUGGCUGGGAGGGUGGGGAGGCCCUGAGGGUGCCCAGAGAAGCUGCGAGCUAAAAGUAGAAGAGAGCAGACACAACCUGGAUCCACUGCCACGUUACAGGAACCUGCACUGAGCACCUGUGGGACUGUCAGAGGGACUAAAGGCAGCUGCUCUGCCCCAGUCCCACACUGUGGGCAGAGCCUUGUCCCCUGUAGAGCAGGGGACCAAAGGGACAGCACGUCCCUGAUGUGUCCUAAAGGCUGGGAAGAGCCCCUGAGCUCUCCAAGCAGGGUGGGUGGUGAGGGUUUGCAGGUUCAGCAGGGCAGAGAACACAGAACCCUCAUGUGGGGGACGGGGUGGGAGAGAAAUCAAGCCCCAGGCUCUGGGAGAGGCUGCAGCAGAAAGUUUUGAAGGAGCAGCAGUUCUGGAUGUGGGUCCAGGGCAAGGGAGAGAAGGAAGCAGCGGUGGAGAGUGGGGACAGUGACAAGAACACUCGUGGAGCUCCUGCAGCGAUGGCACCAUGCUGCCUCUGAGAGGAAGGAUGUUGGAAUGUCUCCUGAGUUCUUCCCCUUGAUUCCUAUUUCCCGUAUUCCCCCAUUAGCCUGUUUCUGACCUCAGGGUGGCUUUUCAUGUUUGCAGUCCUUUGGACAAGGAUUUAUGUUUAAAAAAUACCCAAAAUCAGGCAACGAACCAACCCACAAAACCUUAAAAUCUGGAUAACGUGAAAAAUAUAGAACAUACAAACUCUUCAGUAGCCUGUGACCCUCCCUCUCUCCCUGGAGCACUUAUGGGCACAUCUGAUGAUACACAUGGAGAUUCUGUGAGCAGGACUGGAACAGGCUGCCCAAGGAAGCAGUGGAAUUAUUACCCUUGGAAGUUCCAAAGGUGUGUGGAUGUGACACUUGGGGACAUGGUUUAGUGAUGGAUUUGGCAGUGCUGGGGAACAGUUGGAGUUGAUGAUCUUAAAGGGCUUUUCUAAAUGAAAUAAUUUCAGGACACAAACAG